CUGACACUUCAGUUGCUCUGUUUUAAAGGUUAUUGGUGGUACUGUAAACGAUAAUGGUUUCAUAAUUGUUAAGGCCACUCAUGUUGGAUCAGAAACAGCUCUGUCACAGAUAGUACAGCUAGUUGAAGCCGCUCAACUUGCAAGAGCUCCAGUGCAAAGGUUGGCAGACAAAAUUUCACGGUUUUUCUGUUCCAACUGUUGUGGUGGCUGCAUUUGUUACAUGGCUUGGCUGGUUCAUAAAUGGGCAACUUCACCUCUACCCUCAGCAAUGGAUUCUACUGCUAUUAUGGUUGCCACCGGAAAAGGUGCUUCUCUAGGUGUUCUUAUCAAAGGUGGCAAUGCACUUCAGAAAGCUCACAAGGAUGUCUUCCUCACCUUCCACUGUAGAAGGGUUAGUAUGAACCACAUUUUUUAAGGUAUGCAUUUAUCUAUCCUGUAGUGUUGAGUUCUCAUGUGUGUGUUAAUCCAUGGUCUGCAUCAAACUAUUUAUUUGUUCAGGACCAUGAAACAUCAAAUGGUGUAUUUAAUUUCAGGUUCUCUAAGACAAAUAGCAUGGUGUUGUGUAGAAAUUUCAGGUUAAUUAUGUUGAACAGGUUGCAUUUGGCAUGCUUGCAGAUUUUUUAAAAUUCCUGAAUAUGCACUAAUAACCAGCUCAAGGGUUCUCUAAGACAAAUAGCAUGGUGCUGUGUAGAAAUUUCAGUUUAAGUAUGUUGAGCAGGUUGCAUUUGGCAUGCUUGCACUUUCUGAUGUUUCUCACAUCUGAUGUGUGCUUGCCUAGAAAAGUUUUGUCGUGGCAAGGAUUAGCUAUUUGUAGUCAUAACACUUGGAAGUAGUCAUAACACAGAAGC